CCCUUAGAUGUCCUGGGCUGCACGCGCGCUACACUGAUGUGUCCAGUAAGCACCUAACCUCUUCCGAAAGGAACGGGUAACCUUUGCAAAGCACAUCGUGAUGGGGAUAGAUUAUUGCAAUUAUUAGUCUUGAACGAGGAAUUCCUAGUAAGCACAAGUCAUCAGCUUGUGUUGAUUACGUCCCUUCCCUUUGUACACACCGCCCGUCGCUCCUACCGAUUGAAUGUUCCGGUGAGCUCUUCGGACUGCGCGGUCUGCAGUUUCUGCGUUCCGUGCGGAAAGUUGCGCAAACCUUAACAUUUAGAGGAAGGAGAAGUCGUAACA
rnacentral:rRNA from 1 species